GCGGGAGUGGCGAAAUUGGUAGACGCGCCAGAUUUAGGUUCUGGUGUUUCGGCGUGAGAGUUCGAGUCUCUCCCCCCGCACCA
rnacentral:tRNA from 1 species